ACCGGACUCAUUCCCUUAUGCGGAAAUGAACUCACCUACGUAUGGUCACGUGGUAGGCUACAGCACCGUGCGUGACUCACCUGCAGUUUCAACUUCCACGCCCAUACCUGCAAAAACCAGGAAACGCAAAGCAUUGCCGCAAAACGAACAGCUUUUUUCUUACUUCAAAACACACCUUCUGCUGGUGUACUAUCAUAUUCGGUUUUUAAUUGUGGUUUUCCAUCGCAAACUACCAAAUAUCCAGAAUUUUCAUUAGGGACACAUCCAGUACUGACCAGUCCAACACUGACUUGUACCGAUCUAGCUGCUCCUGGGAUAGGUUCUACUGGACCAAAGAAGCCCAGUACCUGUGUCUCCGUCGACUCUCUUCACCCAGCUACUCUGCUAUUCUGAAGGAAAUCAAGAGUGGUUUUGGCAGUAGGAUAUGGUUUAAAAGUCUGUUUGAAAAUCUCUGCUGGAUAUCUAUUACCUUGGAUCAUCCUUCGGUUAUUCAUGUUCCUCAUUCACAAUGUAUCCAAGGCCUAUGUCCCUUAGCACUAUUUGGAAGUUGCUGGCCCACGUACCUCACCCGAUGCAUAUUUAACCAGGAGUCUUCCAUAGAAGCAGUUGAAAGAGAACUCAGCGGAAAAGAUUCAGGCCACCCAUCACAACAGAUUAUUGCGCUAAAUGCAUGUGCAACCGGAAAUGCUGUUUGAUCUUGAGGCUACUAGUAAGCACUGUUAUCUACUUUACUUUGAUGCAAAGAUAUGGAGAUACGCUUGAUGGCUACAUAACUUGACAGCUCUGAAUCUGAUAUUGGAACGACACACCAGCAUAUUAAUAUUUUUAUUCAGCUUGCAUUGUUAGAUUGAAAAACCUGUCCUUUUUACAACACUGAAACUCUACAACUAACAAUCAUUCUGUCCAUUUUGGAACUGACUGACUUGCCUCUGUUAGUCUUGGGACACCCAGGGGUGAAAAAUCUAUUAAAGUCAUCUGGAAGGAUCCAUUUUGUCAAAAUAAAAUUGACAGAAUUCCAAAUGAUAAUGAAUGCGUGUUGUAUUUUAUUGGUUUUGUAACGGCUUUCUAAUGGUGAAGGAGAGUCGGACCAAACUGCAGCGUGUCUAUUGCGAUUCAUCUUUAAUAAACAAACGUAACACACAACAAAACACUAACACUACAAAACGAAAACAGCCUAUACAAGUGUCUACUAACCUCUAACCAGGACAUCAAGACACACAGGACAAUCACCCACAAUUACAACCAAAGAAUAUGGCUGCCUAAAUAUGGUUCCCAAUCAGAGACAACGGUAAACACCUGCCUCUGAUUGAGAACCACUUCAGACAGCCAUAGACUCUCCUAGAACACCCCACUAAGCUACAAUCCCACUAUACACACAUUCCAAAAUCCCAAGACAAAACACACCACAAUACAAAAACUCUAUGCCACACCCUGGCCUGACCCAAU